AUCGAACGCUGGCGGCAGGCCUAACACAUGCAAGUCGAACGAGUGGCGGACGGGCGAGUAAUGGCUGGGAACCUGCCUGACGGAGGGGGAUGACUAGUGGAAACGGUAGCUAAUACCGCAUACCAUCAGUUGGGCCGAGGUGGGAUUAGGUAGUUGGUGGGGUAACGGCUCACCAGGGCGACGAUCCCUAGCUGGUCGUAGAGGGUGACCGGCCACACUGGGACUGAGACACGGUCCAGACUCCUACGGGAGGCAGCAGUGGGGAAUAUUGCGCAAUGGACGCAAGCCUGAUGCAGCCAUGCCGCGUGAAUGAAGAAGGCCUUCGGGUUGUAAAGUACUUUCAGCAGGGAGGCGUUACCCACAGAAGAAGCACCGGCUAACUCCGUGCCAGCAGCCGCGGUAAUAC
rnacentral:rRNA from 1 species